ACUUGCUCAGCUUUGCAGAUCCUGGGUCCAGAAGCGCCGGGACACCGUAACAGUUGAUCGGCGGAUUCCACUUACUGUGACUAUCCAGUCUCCUCUAGGCCUUUGGACAUCUGAAAGGCAGUGUUAAGAGCCCAACUCUGGAGAUGGACUUUGGCUCCACCACCAAGUAUUAAUAGCUCUGUGACUUGGGGCAAGUUACUUAACCUCCCUACACCACAGUUUCCACUGCUGUAAAUUGGGGAUGAUGAUAAUAACAGCCACCUCACAAGGUUGCCUGGAGAUUUGAUUAAAUGAAAUAAUUAGCAUGGAGUUUAUCUAGUCUUACCUGUCAGAGUCAAGAGCCUUCUUUCUCCUAAGCUGACCUUAGUAUCUCCCCCUGUCCGCCCCCUUUACUUUGGAUCCUAACUCAUAAAACGGGAUUGCUUGACAGUAUGUUUUCUUUGUGUACAGAUAGCUUGUUUCUUCAACCUACAUUUUAAGUUCUUUCAACAGUCACUUUUAUUUCUAUGCACACUUAAAGGCACCAACUUAGUGCAUUGCACACAACUUGUGUUCAAUAAAUUUUUGUUGAUUGAAUGAUAAAUAAAACCUCAGUGAUACCUAGAAAGAGAUUUUUCUAGAAAAUUUGAAGGUAUAGAAAAGAAAAACUCUUCAUAGGGCAGGAUGAGUAGAAUAAAACUUGAGAUAUGAAGUCAACUUUGUUAGUUUAGAACCAUAAAAAUGUAUCAUGUAGAGUAAUCUCAACUAUGUAAAGAAAACUGCAAAACAAAACUGGAAGUAAACAUGCCAGAUUUUAUAGUUGAUGUCUUAGUGUAGGAGGAGUAUGAGUGAUUUUUUUCCCCUCCUGUUUUAUACUUUUUAGUCCUUUCCAGCUUUUCCAUGGUCAAUAUGUGUUUCUGAGUUGCUCAGGAAAAGUACUUCUAUUAUCCAUAUAAUUUAGCCAAUCAAAAUGAUCACAUUUUGGAUAUUUAGAGAUGUGAUGACCUUGGAGGAAAAAAAAAAUCAUGAGAACAAAACAAUUGCGUUCCUCUAAGUUUUCCUUCAUUUUUUUUCCCCAGAGCAGCCACCCUUUACUGAUUUGUGCCAGAAAAUCAAUUUGUCAGUUUGAAGUGUAGAGAUAUUUCCUUUUCAGGGACCAGAAUAUUUGUCUUUCCUAUCUAGGGGACUUCCUUUGAAGUGUCAAGAUUCCAGGCAGGGAAUCAGCAUUGUAGAAGGGUCUUGGACUAAAUUCAGAGCCAAGGCAAAGUGAGGCAAAUUAUCUUAAUGAUUAUUUCAACUAGCUUAGUGAACUUUCACCUUUUCAGUGAUUUAUUUUAUUUAUUUAUUUUUUUUAGACAGGGACUUGCUCUGUGCAGGCUAGAAUGCAGUGGUGCAAUCAUAGCUCACUGAAGCCUUGAACCUCUGGGCUCAAACGAUCCUCCUGCCCCAGCUUCCCAAGUAGCUGGGACUACAGGCAUGCAUUACCAUGCCCAGCUAAUAUUUUAAAUUUUUGGUAGAGAUGGGGUCUUGCCCAGGGUGGCCUUGAACUCCUGGCCUCAAGCAAUCCUCCUGCCUUGGCCUCCCAAAGCUCUGGGAUUACCGACAUGAGCCACCGUGCUGGCCUCCUGUGAUUUCUUUCUUUAUUUAUUUACUAUUAUUUUUAUUUUUUUCUUUCAAGGCUUUAGGAUGUACCAGUGAUCUUCUGUUUAUAUUACUGUAACAUAAAAAAAACACACACAACAACUUACAAAGUUAUAAUUCACUCAACUGGAGUUACCUUCCACUUUUACUGAAAAUUAGGACAACACUUCAAUUUAUCUGUGCAUAGAGUCAUUCAUUCAACAAAAAUUUACUAAGUGCCAGGCCAUGUGCUGAUGCUGGAAAUGAGAAAUAAGACCUGGUCCUUAUCUUUCAGAAGUUUAGGGUCUAGUUGAUGAACACUCAUAUACAAACAGUGAUAUGUAGAAAAUUGUCUCAAGGGCUUCGGUAGAUCCAGGUAGACAGACUUACAGCAGCUAGUGGGACAAAAAUGAGAAGCCAGUUCUAGUUGGGCAGGGAGACAGCAAAGAGGAGGGAGCAGAAAAGAACUUCAGAGACAACCAGUUAUCUGGGCUGAUUAUGAAUCUUUAGCUUAUAAGUGGGUAGUAUUUCCUGACGUGAGGCUAUUGUUUUUUUUUGUACUUUGUCGUAAUCAUGUUGUCUUACAUACUGUCUAUCUGAUUACUUUCUCUGCUACAUUAAGGAUAUGCUUCAUGAUUCUUUCCAUCAUUGAGAAAUGCAAUGAGUUUAUAACAUUUAAAUCCUAUUCCAUCAUAGUCUAAGAACUGACCAAAUUUUAAAAAUAUAUCAAUCAUUUUAUCAGGUAACAUUGAAAUUUGUAAAAUACAAAAACCCUAAACUUUUUACUUUUACUUAAAGUGUAUAAUUGUACAUUCAUUCCUCAAUGAUUAGAUGUUGGGCUCAGUGUUGGAAUCCUCUGAUUGAAAUUACUCAUUGUUUUUCUUGCAUUAACCCUGCCUGUGAUACACUGGGUUUAUGGUUUCCAGCCUUUGUUUUUCUAUAGAGAAGAGUGAGCUUAGACACUUAACAAACAAUAUGAGUGUGGAGUCUUUUAGGCUUUACACUUUCUUUUCCUAAUCUUUUAGUUUUUUAGCCCAUAACUAAUUUG
rnacentral:lncRNA from 1 species